CAAUAGCGUAUAUUAAAGUUGUUGCAGUUAAAAAGCUCGUAGUUGGAUUUCUGGUCGGAAGCUCCUGUCCUCUGAUGAGCGUACAAGUGCGUCCUACCAUCCUUCUGUUAACCUUUAAGGCUUUCGCGGCUUUCUAGGGGCUCAGAUAUUUUACCUUGAGAAAAUUAGAGGGUUUCAGGCAGGCUAGCGCCGGAAUACAUUAGCAUGGAAUAAUGGAAUAGGACUUUUGCCUCUUCUGUUGGUCAUGAGGCUCGAGUAAUGAUUAAUAGGGAUAGUUGGGGGCAUUAGUACUUAACUGUCAGAGGUGAAAUUCUCGGAUUUGUUAAAGACUAACUUAUGCGAAAGCAUUUGCCAAGGAUGUUUUCAUUA
rnacentral:rRNA from 1 species